rnacentral:rRNA from 1 species
CGCGUAGGUGGUAGUGUAAGUCUGGGGUGGAAUCCCAGGGCUUAACCCUGGAACUGCCUUGGAAACUGUAUUACUUGAGUCAGUGAGGGGAGGGUAGAAUUCCUGGUGUAGCGGUGAAAUGCGUAGAUAUCAGGAGGAAGGCCUGUGGCGAAGGCGGCCCUCUGGCGCUGGACUGACACUGAGGCGCGAAAGCGUGGGGAGCAAACAGGAUUAGAUACCCUGGUAGUCCACGCCCUAAACGGUGGGCACUAGGUGUAGGGCUCGUAAGGGUUCUGUGCCGAAGGGAAACCAUUAAGUGCCCCGCCUGGGGAGUACGGCCGCAAGGUUGAA